GCAGCUGUGGUGUAAUGGUAACAUACCUCCCUCCCAAGGAGGUGUCUCGGGUUCGAUCCCCGGCAGCUGCA
rnacentral:tRNA from 1 species